UACGAGGGGGGGGCAAGCGUUGUUCGGAAUUAUUGGGCGUAAAGGGUGCGUAGGCGGUUUGGUAAGUCUUAUGUGAAAUCUACAGGCUCAACUUGUAGUCUGCAUGAGAAACUGCCGGGCUUGAGUAUGGGAGAGGUGAGUGGAAUUCCUGGUGUAGCGGUGAAAUGCGUAGAUAUCAGGAGGAACACCUGUGGCGAAAGCGGCUCACUGGACCAAUAACUGACGCUGAUGCACGAAAGCUAGGGGAGCAAACAGG
rnacentral:rRNA from 1 species